rnacentral:lncRNA from 1 species
GACAGGGCAUGUGGAAUGGAAUUUGCAUAAAACUUAUCACCAAAUUCUGGAGGAUUCUCUUCACCCCCUCUCCACUUCCUCCAUUAUUUCUUAAUGGGACAAAAAGUGAUCCAAAAACAACCAAUGAAUUGUGUAUUUCUUGCAUGCCUUUGAUAUGCAGGCACAGAGCUACAAGCUACAUGUCCCUGGCCCCUCUCCCUAGGAGCACAGAGUUCCAGUGAAGAACCUAAAGCACAAACACUGACAGCUGUAAGAUGAGGAAACAGAAGCUGGGAUAUGUGAGUAAACAUUUCCAAGGUCCUGCAGCUAAUCAAUGGUUGACAACUUCUUUCCUCUGCCUAUGUUGCCAUCCAUGUCAUGGUUUGUGUCAAGACUCUAGGAGAAGUCUACCAUCAGCACCACAGCUACUGUGCACAAAUCCAGAAUGCCAGACUGAAGUCAGAAGGAAAGAGAACUUUUCCAACCAGCAGUGGGGCCCUUAGCAGGGGAGACUGGAAACAGAUCCUUUAUAUAUUGAAAGAAGAAAGUAGAACCAUUUCUGGGUCCCAGCUGUGGGAAGAGCUCCUGUGGCUGUGAAUUCUGACUUCUGGGUCUUGGCACAAGGUGUGGCCAGCAAGCUAAGCUGUCCUGAGGGUGUGCAGGGCCAGGGGCUGAAGACAGUGUUGGAGCAUCCACAGACUGGUUUGUCUCAAGAAGCAUGUUACUAAAUAUGAAAUAGCAAAAUCUGCAAGUGGGUUUACUUUUCCCCCAUAGAUUAGAAUGGAUUCAAUAUUAUCUCUUUAUUAGCGUCACUUUUAAUCACUUGUAUAACAAGUAGGACAGAAAGGUGGCUUGAAAGUCAAUCAUGUGAGAAUUCCAGAUAAAUUGACUUUGCUCACAACAAUCUGUUAUUCAUGUGACUAUCAACUGUCAUGUGUGCUGGGGCAAAAAAAGAAGAUAAGGAUUCACUGGUAUCAGAUAGUUCCAGGAGGGGAAACCCAGGAUUGAACUUUUUCAGCCUUCUAUGGUAAAAUUUCCUGCUCUGUCGGUGCGCCAAAGCUUUUUUCAGUUUCCUAAACUCCCAUAUUCAAGAAGAUAAGCUAUUUUCUCUUCUUUCUCAUCCUUCCUUGACAAAGCAAAGCAUAUUUUCAUUGUCUACUCUGUGUCAUCCAUGCUUGGUUCCUGUCCUCAAAGAGCUUAUAGUUCAAAUAAAGGAGAGGGAGCAUUUUACAAGGGAAUUAAAGGUAAAAGAUUCUGAAAGCCAGUUUAAAAAGUCGUGAGGGAGGGGUCUGGGAGAAGCUGAGCAGGGGUGAAAGGGUACGAAACAUUAUGGAAGGAGAACAGGGGAGCACCCUGACUACUGGGUGGAAACACCAAUCAGUGGGUAGAAACCACACAGUGGUAACACUGAUCAGUGGGUAGAAAACAAUGACAGCAGGUAUAUGAGGCAUGGAACACUUGGCUUAUUGUAAAGUUUUCAAAAUAUGCAGUCCUUUCUAUCCACCAGGGGUUGGGAGUUGUCUUUGUAUAUCAACCGUGGAAGGGCUGUUUUGGUUCAUCAUUCUGUGGUCUACCUGGGUAGACCUGAUGCAGCCGUGUUUCUGAGGAAAGGAAGAACAGCUUUUGUUUUGUGAUAUGUAAUGGUAGAUGUAGUGCCAUGGAAUGAUGCAGAUUUCAUUCAGAUAUUCUUGGAUCUUGGCCCCAGGACUCACUCAUUCUUCCCUAUAUGAGCAUUGGUAGUUACAGGUUUUAUCCUUCCUUUAAUUGUAAGUCUUUUGAAGCCAAAAACUGUAUCCAAUUUGUCACUGUCUCCUAACAGUACUUAGCAGUGUCUGAUGCAUCAUAGGGAGUUUGUAAAUGUUUGGAUAAAUAAAGGGAAAACAAAAACAACCACAAAAAAACCUUUAUUUUGCUUUAAUAAAAAUAUUUUAACUAGUUUCCACUGGCAUAUAUAUCCACAUGGUAGAUAUAUUCUAAGAAACAGUCUCUUCAAAUGAUGGCUUCAAUAAUGGAUGAAAAAUAAAUUUCCUAAUGAAUUAUUUUACAGAAAGCACCACACACACACCCCCAACAUCAAUAAAAAAUUCAUUUGUGAUUUUAAGAACUAUAGGAUAAUAAUAGGUAAUCCAUGUGAAGUUAUGACAGCUUGUAAGGCCAGGGAGGGCACGAGGAGAUGAAACACACAGAUCAUCUUCAAACCACAGAAGCUCAGACUUCUCUUGCUCUGAAAGUUGACGAUCAGUGAAAAGCCCACUGAUAGCUGAGUUUUACCUCCUCUUCUUCUGUAUAAUCCCUUUUUUGGUGAAAGCAGAGAUGUCAUGGACAAUGUAGGAUUUCAUCAAAUCUGAGAGGCCAUUGAUUAUAGGACGGCAUUGUUUUAGGUAUCACUAAGAAAGAAAAAAGCCUUGCCAAGUAAACUCCCCAAAUUCAGAGACAUUCAAAUGUUGAAAAAUAACUGUUUCAGAAUCUAUGAAAUACAGACAAUUCUCCCUAAUGCUUGGCCCAGGGCUUUGCAUACCAUAGGUGGUCAAUAAGCAUUUGUUGACUGAGUGAAUAAUGUUGACAAGCAGAAAUGCCUGGUUUAUAAUGCCUAGAGCCCAUCACUGAGAACAGUGGGCUAGAUCCCUUCUUGAUGUUUUAAGUAAUCGCUGAGAGAAUGGGUGGGCGAUUGCUCUUCUGAUUGCUAAGAACAAAACAAAACACAAAACUGAUAAAAAGCAGAGUUGCAGAACUGCAUCCUGUUGAUGUACUGCCAGAGGAGUCAGGCCUGGAGUACUGUUCACUAAGAAAUAGUGACUUUUGCAUCCUCGACGUCCCAGUCAUACACGGGCUUUUCUCUGAAUAAUCAAAGAAGGGAUUAUUUUGUGUAAGAAUGGACAAAUGAGUGUGUGAGUUUGUGUACGGUAAGGAAGGCAGGUAGAUAGAAAUACAUAAAAGAGUAAAAAAUUUCUUAAAAAAGCUCACUGGGUUUAACACAUGCAUCAUUCACACAUCAGAAACCAAUAUACACUUGCGACUCUGUACCCACAGAACUCAGAACUGCAGCUUGCAACUCCAUGUCUCCGCACAGUGAUAAAUAUGGGCAAUAUUAAUGUCAUCUUCUAAGCCCCCAAAAAUAUAGCUGACUCUGUUCAACAGAGCUGGUCAGACUGCGGCAGAUAAAUCAUAUUCAGAUCAGAACUCCAUGUACACAUAAUCUUUGGGGCAUUUGCAAAGUCUAGGGGCAUGCAGUGACAGAUCUGGAUUAUUGAUAUCACUCUGUAGCCUGUCCUCCUUGAGUUUUUUUUUCCUACCAGUAAUAAGGAUGGAUUCUCUGACACUGACCUCCUUAUAAAUUGGCUUCUAGUUCAUCUUUCCAGAGGUGCCACCAGAGAACCAAGAAGCAAUUUCAAUUAAGAGUACAAUUAGGGAACAUACCUUUUGAAAUAUUAUUUUUUAGUUUUUACUCAUUUUCAAUAGUGGUUGUGCAAGACCCUCUUAAGACCAUUUCAAUUUUCAGGAGGUUACUGCAAGAGUCUCACUGGGCUUAUCUGACUGUGUUAAACAAGGGCAGAGCUUAAGAGUUUGAUCACUGCUAGGCUCUUUAACAGGAGGAUCUGUACCGGAUCCCUGUGGGUAUUUCUGUGGGACCUGGCACAGGUUUUUGAACCUAGUAUCUGCUCAACUGAAAUGUAUUAAGUAAAUGAAUAAUGAAUAAAUGAUGCUAAGAAGCACAAGCCUCUUGGUACCACUGUAGCAAUUAAAGACUUUUAGAGUAUAUAAAUUUUUCUUCCUAAAAUGCAUUCUGAGGAGAGUAGAUAGGUAUUAAUGCAAGAAAACGAACACGAGUCCAAAAAAAUUGUUGAGCAUUAGUGGAUUCAGCAAGGAUUUUUAAUCUCUUUUUCUUAGAUUCCCCUGAAAGAAUUUUGAAACUAUGGACCCUGUCACACUUUUAAGUUAGCAUCUAAAUUUUUUAAAUCACAAGUUGUAACAGUUACAAAGGACGCAAUUUCUGGCAUGUUUGACAGUUAUGAAGGACGCAAUUUCUGGCACAUUUCUACUGUUAUAUCACUCUUUUAUUUAUUUUUUUUAUUUUUUGAGAUGAAGUCUUGUUCUGUCACCCGGGCUGGAGUGCAGUGGUGCAAUCUCGACUCACUGCAACUUCCGCCUCCUGGAUUCAAGCAAUUCUCCCACCUCAGCCUCCUGAGUAGCUGGGAUUACAGGCAUGCACCACCACACCCAGCUAAUUUUUUUGUAUUUUUAGUAGAGCUGGGGUUUCGCCAUAUUGUCCAGGCUGUUCUCGAACUCCUGGCCUUAAGUGAGCUGCCCGCCCAAAGUGCUGGGAUUACAGGCUUGAGCCAUCACGCCUGGUCUAUAUUACUCUUUUAAAUGUAUCCACAGAACCUAAGUAUCAUAACAAUUUGAUGCCUAUCUCACUAUUUUAAAAAAAAUAUAGAAACAAGCUCUUGAAAUUUUACAUUUCUUUAUCUCUAUAAAUGCAUUCUUUAUAUUCUACUUUCUCCAUAUGGUUUUAUCUUAAUGAAAUGUAUUGUCAUACUUAAAAGACUUUUCUUGAACAUUUUACUUCUCUGCAACGAAAAUAUGUAUCAAAUUUGAAAUUAAUAGUUUUAUUCAUUGUGCCCUUAAUCUUUUGUAUUAAAAAUUCUACCACUGAUAUUUAACAAACAACAAUAUAAACUUUAAUAAAAUUAUUAAGCAUGAAAAGUAAAAGUACUGG